GAUACGUCUUCAGAGUUUGAUCCUGGCUCAGGAUGAACGCUGACAGAAUGCUUAACACAUGCAAGUCGAACGAAGGGAAGUGGGAGCUUGCUCCUAUGGAACUUAGUGGCGAACGGGUGAGUAACGCGUAAUCAACCUGCCCUUCAGAGGGGGGACAACAGAUGGAAACGUCUGCUAAUACCGCAUACGUUCUUGUUAUCGCAUGAUGAUGAGAAGAAAGGUGGCCUCUUGAAAAAAGCUACCACUGAAGGAGGGGAUUGCGUCUGAUUAGCUAGUUGGAGGGGUAACGGCCCACCAAGGCGAUGAUCAGUAGCCGGUCUGAGAGGAUGAACGGCCACAUUGGGACUGAGACACGGCCCAA
rnacentral:rRNA from 1 species